AGAGAGAGAAAAGGAGAGAGAUACAGAGGGAAAGAGAGAGGGAGAGAGAGAUAGAAAAGGAAAGAGAGAGAGAGAGAUAGUGAGAGAGAGAGAGAGAGAGAGAGAGAGAGAGAGAGAGAGAGAGAGAGAGAGAGAGAGAGGAGUGGGGAGAGAGAGAUAGCUAUAGAGGAGAACUAUCACAGUUACACAUGCCCUGAUCCCCCUUUCUCCCUCCUCCAUAUAUUAUAUCAUAAGUGACGUUGAGCUCCUGGCUGCUGCUGAUGUGUGUUUAACAGCGCCAGGCCUCUGGGAGAACCGCUGACUUCCACUCAUCAUUUAUCAGCCCCUGGAUUCACUCAUUCAAAUAUAUAUAAAAGAUAUAUAAAAAUAAUAUACCUCAAAAAGGUGUCGAUGGGUUCGGUUCUCAGCUGCUGGCUUUAUUCACCGUGUACACUGUAUAAUAAACAGCAUCAGAGCUCUGGGAAAGACAAACGCUUACAACACGGAAGAGUAGCGUACGACCGUAAUACUAGCGCUGCUGAAUUCUCCAUUCUGAUUGGCCGGCAGAGGCUGAUGUUCCUGGGAUAAGGAUCUGGAUCCAGCGAUAUCCUGACCAGGAUGAAGUGCUUGCUGAAAAUGAAUGAAUGAAUAAAUGACUGGCGUCUCAUUUAAGGUAAAUUCCCGCCUCACAUCCAGUGUUCCUGAGAUGUGCAGGUGCACAAACUUUUGCACUCAGCAUGUUUUUUUUUAAACGUGUUUUUUUUUUUUUGACCAAAUCUUUACUGUAUCCUUAACUGAUUUUAUUUAAACAGUUCGUCAUAGCGGACUUUUUUUGGACGACUUUUAGAUGUUAACCUAUUAACCACAAGAUAAACACGUUAAAAAGUCCUGUUUUUAAAAAAAUAAAUAAAGGUCUAAUUUGAAACUAGUUGACUCUGAGCAUUUCUACUCAGAGGGAAACACAGUCAAUGGAUGGACCUGAUCCAAGACCAACACUGGCUUGCCAGGAAAUUGAAUGAUUCACCGUCGUUUACGAACCUGGUCAUUUUCUACUGACCAUAAAUCAGACGUAUCGUUUAAAGACAGGAUUAGACAAUGUGUUGAUUUGUAGGAAACUGAUCCGGGACCUGUGUUUAGAGCACGACAGCCUGACGGACGCUGAUUCAGUAGCUCGGCCAUGUGAGGCAUGUAUGAAAUGAUUGUGGUUAGCCGCCGCGAGGGGAUGUUAACGGUCCGGUGGUUUCUGUUUAUACACAGGAGCGAGACGGCGAGAGAUGACUCCAGACUUAUGAAUGACUCUAUGAAGCCAGAGUUCGGAGUGAGUCAAACUUCCUCAGCUUGUUCGCCAAAAACAAAAAAAAAGACCAUGUACACAAUGAAUUUGGACACUUUUGUAUAAGCAAGCAUGACCUAGAAAAAAAAAAACAGAUAGUACAGUGCGACGAGAAGGAAGAAAGUUUGUGCUGCUCUUGAUGAUCGAAGAGCGACUCCAGGAGACGGGAGAGAUCUUCGAGAAGACUUGGACGGAGAGAAGAAAACUGAGAGGGAGAAAAGGCAAGAAAGAAAUUAGAGAUGAGCUAGAGAUAGAAGGAAAAGAAAAGACAGAGAGAGAGAGAGAGAGAAACGGGCUUGUUUGCUUUUGCACAGGCGCUGAUUGACGUACUUGCUCACAGUGACUCAGUGAGUGGAUGGAGGACCGUGAAAGUUCAUGUUGGGAAUAGUAUGAUGCGAGUGAAGAGGGGGCCGCAGCCGUUCUGUCUCCUACCACACAGCAUACGGACCGGCAUGUGCACUCGCACGUCACUCCGCUGGCCACGGCAACCGCCGUAGAAACGGCCUCCACUCAUCCCUGCCGCGUGUCCUCCUCCUUCUCCUUCGUCCUGCACUUCGCUAAUAGAAACACAUGAAAGACGUGCGUUAAAAAAACAAAACGAAAAAAAAAGCACACAAUUCAGAGAGAAAUCACAGGUACGCAAUUAGUCGAUUAACCAUGCGAGACAUAGUUGACAUAAUUGUAUGAUGCUAAUCGCCGUACAAGGAAGGAACUCUACCUGUUCUGUAAAUAAGUUAACAUAUAUUUGCCUCAAAUGUCAAGAAUGCUACAUAUUUUACACGUAUUUAAAGAGCGGGGGUUGACAAAUCGCUAGCUCGGCUAAUCGGGACAGGUAGAUUAUAUAUUACAUAUCCAAGCUAAUCGACGAAAAUGUUUAUCUGAUGUGUAGAGAAAAAAAAAAUACAGAACCAGAAUGAUUAUAGAACGAUGUUUUUAGCUUUAGCUAUAUAGUUAGAAAGGCUAACUCGGUAUCCGCUAUAAUGUUGUGAUGAACCAAAGAGUUUUGAAUGCUCUGGUAUGUUUGAAAAACGGCUAAGAAGAUGAGAAUGCAAGCUGAGAUUAAGAUACCGAAAUUCCAGGUAGCUAUCGCUAGUAUUUAGCCAGCUAGUUGUGCUUAUGUUUGCUCAUGACAUAGAUUAUAUAGAGCGGAAGAGCAAGAAAUAGCAUAAACGUGAUAAAGCUCUUUGUGCGAAACUAUGCUGCGUUCAACAUCAUUUAUCAACCUCGGUGUGAGGGGAAACAAGCCUGAAUGCGGCAGUGUUUGUGUUAUGUUAGCAACGCGCUAGUCAGCGAGCUAGCUGAUGAGUGAUGUCUGUUUUUUUUCCUCCUCAAAACGGUGAACUGUGUAGUCAGUGUUAUAGAUUUAACAAGCGAAUACGUCUGUAGGUCGAUAGCUCUAAAGCAAGUAUUUGUUUAUACACCCUGAUGAAAAAAACAAUAGAAACCAUUAAUGAAAUCCUAAUGGUUUCCUCUACAAAUACCAUUACAAAAAAUAAGCUAACCAUUUAAAAGCAUUACCCUUACUGUACCAUUAUUUGUCCUUAAUGGUGUCCACUAGACAUGCUAUGCACCACCAAUAAAGCGACAAAUUACCAGUAGAGACCCACAGGGACCAUUACAGUUUCCGUUAAAACCAGUACAAUUCCCAUUAUAACCAUUAAAUCCAUUAUAAAUUCUAUGAGGGUAUUUAUUGGGGUUUGUUUUUUUCUUUCUUUUCUUUAGUAUAACUCCUUGAAUGGAAGAAGUGCUAUUUUGUUUGCUGUUGAUGCUGUGGGCGGCCAUUUUGAUUUGACAUCACUUGCUGAACUUGGAGUCCAAGUUGAGGGGAUGUUUUGCUGUUGUUGUUGUUUAUUGUUGUUGUUGUUUUUCCAAGUCUGAGUUUGGGAAUUUGGGAAAGAAAAACCCCUUUAGUUGAAUGCAGCAGUAAGGCUGUUAACCUGUAGCUUGCAGAAAGUUACACAAGAUCAGAUAUUUGCUGGCAUAUUUAAAUAUUCAUGCUGUGAAAAAAAAUUUUUUUUAAUGAAUGAGAGAAGUCAUGGAAUGUUUAAAUAAUCUUACAUUUUGGAGAUCAGUGCCCUAAAAUAUAUCAAACGCAUGCAGUUCCUACCCAAUCCUAACCUGAAUGCCUGUUAAAAAGCUUCAUGUGUCCUUCUGGGACUGUGUUGUUAAGUCAGUGAGUCCUGUUCAGCCCCCUGGCUGGUGGUGACAUUUAAACCAAGGUAGCGCUGCAUCUAUUUGUGAGUGCUGGACCCACGCGUUACGCUCGGAGAAUGUCAAAACUCUGAGCUGCCUGCCUCGAUGAUCAUUUCCUUUGACAUUUCUCCAGCACUGUCAAAUAGGUUAGCACCGUAAUUGCCCUCCGUGUGAAGCGAGAGGGAAUAGUGGGAAUGAAUUCGGACAAGAUUCUGCAUCAACACGCCACUCUCACCUCCCCCAUUAUGGAUCAAGGUCACCUUACACCAGCUGCACCUUGCUAAGUCCACAUUAGCAUGAGGUCUAAUGAGGCUUGGGGGGGGACAGUGCUAGCUCCGCAGCCACCGUCUCGUAAUGCAACCUGCUAGCGCACUGCAUUAUUAGCCCUAAAGGCUUCAUUAUUUGCAUUAGCCAUUUGUUUUCAAUUUGAAGCCAUGCUACUGUUUGGGUUAUUUCCCCUAAAGGGUUGGGGUUUCACAAAAAAUUACAAUGAUUCCAUUAAAAAAAUUACAAUAAUUGCAUUUUGAAGCCAAGGGGUGAUUUUUGUGUUGGUUAAUCUAAACAGCCAGGGCUUGAAGUUAGUACACAAAAACCCAGCUUUCUCCACAAUUGAGUUGGAGACAAUUCCCAUACGUAAAUAUUCAUACUCUUUAAUAUUGAGAUGAAGCAUGGUGGUGGAAGUAUCAUGAAAGGGUUGCUUCUCUGAGUAAUACCAGGUAUCACUGACUGAUACUCAUUAAUCUUCUGUUUUGACUAAUACUUCUACCCGGUCUCUAAGCUUUGGUGGCCAUAAUAUUUUAAACUAUAUUCAAUUUUUCCCCUGCCAAUUCAAUAUUAUGGGUUAUUUUGUGUUGAUUCAUGACAUGAGAUGUUAAAAAUCAUUUUAAGCAGGGGGGUGAAUAUUUAUGCAAGCUACUGAUAAACAACAGCAAAUUGAGGAACCUUUGAGAGCACCAUUGAGAGCAUCCUGAGCAGCUGCAUCACUGCCGGGUUUGGAAAUUACACCGUAUUGGACCGCAAGACCCUGCAGUGGAAAGUGAGGACAGCGGAGAUCACUUGGGUCUGUCUUCCCUCCAUCAUAGCCAUUUACACCACACGGUGCACCGGCAAAGCCACCAGCAUUGUGGAUGACCCCACACACCCGCCUCACACAAACUCUUCACCCUCCUGCCGUCUGGAAAAAGGUACCGAAGCAUUCGGGCCCUCACGGCCAGACCGUGUAAGAGCUUCUUCCCCCAAGCCAUCGGACUCCUCGAUGCUCAAAGACUGGACUGACACCCACACACACACGCACACACACGCACACACAAACACACAAAACAGAAAGCUGCGUUGUGUUUGCAAUUGUUUGAUAUCCAUGAGAGCAGAGUAUUCGUUAAAGGUUAAACAAUAAAGACAAAUUUUCACAGUUU